CAGACGCCGGGAGGCUAUGGCCACGUUAGUUCGGCUGCAAGCUCGGUCGAAGUUCGUAGCGCAGCAGUACUACUUCAGGAACAGUGUUGUAGAUAUAUUUAGGAAAAAGGAGUAUGAUGCAGCAGUUAAAAUCCAGAGCUGGUUUCGAGGAUGUCAAGUUCGGGCAUAUAUCAGGAAUUUACAUAGAGUAGCAACUAUUAUUCAAAAAUGGUGGAGAAGUUACUCAGGGAGACAAGAGUAUCAACUAAUUGUAAAGUUCGCAUCUUGUGCUAUGAAGAUGAAUCUCUACAAUGCAAUGGCUGUCAGGAUUCAGAGGCGAUGGCGAGGCUAUAGGAUUCGGAAAUACUGCUUUAAUUAUUUUUAUUUGAAGGAGUACCUGAAAGCUGUUUCAGAGACCAAUGAUGCUAUUAGGGAGGCACUGGAGGAGUUUGCAGAGAUGAAAGAAAGAGAAGAGAAGAAGGCCGACCUCGAAAGGGAAGAGAAGAAAAGAGAUUACCAAGCCCGGAAGACGCAUUACCUCCUCAGCACAAAGCAGAUUCCAGGUAUAUACAAUUCACCAUUCAGAAAAGAUCCUGAUCCCUGGGAAUUGAGGUUACAAAAGGCAAAGCCUUUAACAUACCAAAGGUCUAAAGUUAAGCAGAAGCGCUGCAUCAGCCUUAGCAGCUGGCUAGCUUGUACGAGUGCCCGUUCCUUUCCUCGAUCUGAAAUUCUGCCACCCAUUGAUAGGAAACAAUGUCAGGGACCAUUCCGUGAUAUCACUGAAGUAUUAGAACAGCGCUACAAGCCUUUGGAGCCAACAUUGUGGGUAGCAGAACCAAUCAGUGAGUUAAAGGUGGCCAGAGAAGAAUUCAGAAGACAGGAAUGGAUGCGAGAUGUAAAUGACAAUAUGUUUUUGCCAUUUUCUUCCUACCAUAAAAAUAAAAAGUAUACCCCAUUAAUGCAUUCAUCAAGCAAGUAUGGUCCCAAUUCCUAUGGAAGUCAACACUUUAGAGAUGAAAAUCCUAAGAAGUGGAUCUGUGACAAGGAUUUCCAAACUGUAUUACCAUCAUUUGAUCUCUUCUCAAAGUACGGAAAAUUAUAUUCAAAAGCUGGACAAAUUAUCUAAAGUUACAUUCAUCUUUCCAGGCAGAAGAGUCCCUUUAAGGAUUUGAGUGAAGAAAACUUAGCAAAAUGAGGUGAAAGCAUUGGUUAAUCUGACAUCAAUAUUUUAUAGAGGAAGGAGAGAAGCAAGCGUAAAGGAAGCUGAAGAAUAGAGGAGAACAAGAAGAAAUGACAAAUGAGACUAAAUACAAUUAAAACUUUCAGAACUGUAAAAGCCACAGGUAACUAAUUCUUCCCAACCGCCUGAGUAUCAAUAUGGUUCAGAAAAAUAGAAAUAAUGAAGGUCAGCAAAACCAAGGAUGGUUCAGAAGCUGUCUGGAAACUAGCUCUGGAGCUCUAAAUUCAAUAGCCCUGCUUUAGCUGUCUUUGACCUGCCUCCCAAUUCUGUUUACACACGGAAUAAUUACUGUACUUCUCUCCUGGAGCACGAGAUACUUUAGAUCACAAUGGCUGCUUUUGUUUUGAUUUGCUACUAUUUAAUUACAAACCAUCAUGUUUAGAUCUUUUCAGGGCAGAGCAAUGCAGUGAUAACACCACUUGUAGAAACAGCAAAAAAUGUGAUGGAAAAUCUGCAUUAAAAAUGACAAAGGUAUGUCCAGGGUUCAAUUUUGGCUUCCAUACAUGUGGCAGCAGCACCAAUGACAGCAAGGCCACUUAGUCCAAUCUUCAUCCAUGCUGAGUGGCGCUAAGCCCUCUUCAAGGAAUAGCAAGACUAAAAGCCUGUUAGGAAGACUGUUUUGUGAAGUCCAAUACACAGUUCACUUGAGAGGAAAAUCAAAUUCUCUCUCAGUCCUUGAGCGGUGAAAAGGUGGCACACUAACCCCCUGCAUUCUUUCAAUAAUGAGAAAAGUAAAUCUAAGUAAUACCUUCCAAUGAAUGAGGCUAUAUCGUCAAAACUACAUAGGUCAACAUUUCUCCCUGUUGCUUUUUCACAGUCAUUUUAUCCCCUAUGCAUUUUAUUAUGAUGAUGGUUAUUAAAGAUCUCAUGCGCUCUGUG